GCUAGGAUUUUUCUGAGUGCAAUGAACCAACUCCCGAGUCUCUAGGACAUUCCUAAAAAAAAAUUUGAUUUUUUCCCAUAGGAAUGCAUGGGUUAGGGUUAUGGUUAGGGUUAGGGUUGGAGCUAGGGUUAGGGUUAGGGUUAGGGUUGGAGUUAGGGUUAGUGUUGGAGCUAGGGUUAGGGUUGGGCUUGGAGCUAGGAUUUUUCUGAGUGCAAUGAACCAACUCCCGAGUCUCUAGGACGUUCUAAAAAAAAUUUGAUUUUUUCCCAUAGGAAUGCAUGGGUUAGGGUUAUGGUUAGGGUUAGGGUUGGAGCUAGGGUUAGGGUUAGGGUUAGGGUUGGAGUUAGGGUUAGUGUUGGAGCUAGGGUUAGGGUUGGGCUUGGAGCUAGGAUUUUUCUGAGUGCAAUGAACCAACUCCCGAGUCUCUAGGACGUUCCUAAAAAAAUUUGAUUUUUUCCCAUAGGAAUGCAUGGGUUAGGGUUAGGGUUAGGGUUGGAGCUAGGGUUAGGGUUAGGGUUAGGGUUGGAGUUAGGGUUAGUGUUGGAGCUAGGGUUAGGGUUGGGCUUGGAGCUAGGAUUUUUCUGAGUGCAAUGAACCAACUCCCGAGUCUCUAGGACGUUCCUAAAAAAAAAUUUGAUUUUUUCCCAUAGGAAUGCAUGGGUUAGGGUUAGGGUUAGGGUUGGAGCUAGGGUUAGGGUUAGGGUUAGGGUUGGAGUUAGGGUUAGUGUUGGAGCCAGGGUUAGGGUUGGGCUUGGAGCUAGGAUUUUUCUGAGUGCACUGAACCAACUCCCGAGUCUCUAGGACAUUCCUAAAAAAUUUGAUUUUUUUCCCAUAGGAAUGCAUGGGUUAGGGUUAGUGGUUAGGGUUAGGGUUGGAGCUAGGGUUAGGGUUAGGGUUAGGGUUGGAGUUAGGGUUAGUGUUGGAGCUAGGGUUAGGGUUGGGCUUGGAGCUAGGAUUUUUCUGAGUGCAAUGAACCAACCCCCGAGUCUCUAGGACGUUCCUAAAAAAAUUUGAUUUUUUCCCUAUAGGAAUGCAUGGGUUAGGGUUAGGGUUAGGGUUGGAGCUAGGGUUAGGGUUAGGGUUAGGGUUGGAGUUAGGGUUAGUGUUGGAGCUAGGGUUAGGGUUGGGCUUGGAGCUAGGAUUUUUCUGAGUGCAAUGAACCAACUCCCGAGUCUCUAGGACGUUCCUAAAAAAAUUUGAUUUUUUCCCAUAGGAAUGCAUGGGUUAGGGUUAGGGUUAGGGUUGGAGCUAGGGUUAGGGUUAGGGUUAGGGUUGGAGUUAGGGUUAGUGUUGGAGCUAGGGUUAGGGUUGGGCUUGGAGCUAGGUUUUUCUGAGGGUGCACUGAACCAACUCCCGAGUCUCUAGGACAUUCCUAAAAAAAUUUGAUUUUUUCCCAUAGGAAUGCAUGGGUUAGGGUUAUGGUUAGGGUUGGAGCUAGGGUUAGGGUUAGGGUUAGGGUUGGAGUUAGGGUUAGUGUUGGAGCUAGGGUUAGGGUUGGGCUUGGAGCUAGGAUUUUUCUGAGUGCACUGAACCAACUCCCGAGUCUCUAGGACAUUCCUAAAAAAAUUUGAUUUUUUCCCAUAGGAAUGCAUGGGUUAGGGUUAGGGUUAGGGUUGGAGCUAGGGUUAGGGUUAGGGUUAGGGUUGGAGUUAGGGUUAGUGUUGGAGCUAGGGUUAGGGUUGGGCUUGGAGCUAGGAUUUUUCUGAGUGCACUGAACCAACUCCCGAGUCUCUAGGACAUUCCUAAAAAAAUUUGAUUUUUCCCAUAGGAAUGCAUGGGUUAGGGUUAUGGUUAGGGUUAGGGUUGGAGCUAGGGUUAGGGUUAGGGUUAGGGUUGGAGUUAGGGUUAGUGUUGGAGCUAGGGUUAGGGUUGGGCUUGGAGCUAGGAUUUUUCUGAGUGCACUGAACCAACUCCCGAGUCUCUAGGACAUUCCUAAAAAAAUUUGAUUUUUUUCCCAUAGGAAUGCAUGGGUUAGGGUUAGGGUUAUGGUUAGGGUUAGGGUUAGGGUUAGGGUUAGGGUUGGAGUUAGGGUUAGUGUUGGAGCUAGGGUUAGGGUUGGGCUUGGAGCUAGGAUUUUUCUGAGUGCACUGAACCAACUCCCGGGUCUCUAGGACAUUCCUAAAAAAAUUUGAUUUUUUCCCAUAGGAAUGCAUGGGUUAGGGUUAGGGUUAGGGUUGGAGCUAGGGUUAGGGUUAGGGUUAGGGUUGGAGUUAGGGUUAGUGUUGGAGCUAGGGUUAGGGUUGGGCUUGGAGCUAGGAUUUUUCUGAGUGCAAUGAACCAACUCCCGAGUCUCUAGGACAUUCCUAAAAAAAUUUGAUUUUUUCCCAUAGGAAUGCAUGGGUUAGGGUUAGGGUUAGGGUUGGAGCUAGGGUUAGGGUUAGGGUUAGGGUUGGAGUUAGGGUUAGUGUUGGAGCUAGGGUUAGGGUUGGGCUUGGAGCUAGGAUUUUUCUGAGUGCACUGAACCAACUCCCGAGUCUCUAGGACAUUCCUAAAAAAAUUUGAUUUUUUUCCCAUAGGAAUGCAUGGGUUAGGGUUAUGGUUAGGGUUAGGGUUGGAGCUAGGGUUAGGGUUAGGGUUAGGGUUGGAGUUAGGGUUAGUGUUGGAGCUAGGGUUAGGGUUGGGCUUGGAGCUAGGAUUUUUCUGAGUGCAAUGAACCAACCCCCGAGUCUCUAGGACGUUCCUAAAAAAAUUUGAUUUUUUCCCAUAGGAAUGCAUGGGUUAGGGUUAUGGUUAGGGUUGGAGCUAGGGUUAGGGUUAGGGUUAGGGUUGGAGUUAGGGUUAGUGUUGGAGCUAGGGUUAGGGUUGGGCUUGGAGCUAGGAUUUUUCUGAGUGCAAUGAACCAACUCCCGAGUCUCUAGGACGUUCCUAAAAAAUUUGAUUUUUUCCCAUAGGAAUGCAUGGGUUAGGGUUAGGGUUAGGGUUGGAGCUAGGGUUAGGGUUAGGGUUAGGGUUGGAGUUAGGGUUAGUGUUGGAGCUAGGGUUAGGGUUGGGCUUGGAGCUAGGAUUUUUCUGAGUGCACUGAACCAACUCCCGAGUCUCUAGGACGUUCCUAAAAAAAUUUGAUUUUUUCCCAUAGGAAUGCAUGGGUUAGGGUUAUGGUUAGGGUUAGGGUUAGGGUUGGAGUUAGGGUUAGUGUUGGAGCUAGGGUUAGGGUUGGGCUUGGAGCUAGGAUUUUUCUGAGUGCACUGAACCAACUCCCGAGUCUCUAGGACAUUCCUAAAAAAAUUUGAUUUUUUCCCAUAGGAAUGCAUGGGUUAGGGUUAGGGUUAGGGUUGGAGCUAGGGUUAGGGUUAGGGUUAGGGUUGGAGUUAGGGUUAGUGUUGGAGCUAGGGUUAGGGUUGGGCUUGGAGCUAGGAUUUUUCUGAGUGCACUGAACCAACUCCCGAGUCUCUAGGACAUUCCUAAAAAAAUUUGAUUUUUUCCUAUAGGAAUGCAUGGGUUAGGGUUAUGGUUAGGGUUAGGGUUGGAGCUAGGGUUAGGGUUAGGGUUAGGGUUGGAGUUAGGGUUAGUGUUGGAGCUAGGGUUAGGGUUGGGCUUGGAGCUAGGAUUUUUCUGAGUGCACUGAACCAACUCCCGAGUCUCUAGGACAUUCCUAAAAAAAUUUGAUUUUUUCCCAUAGGAAUGCAUGGGUUAGGGUUAGGGUUAGGGUUGGAGCUAGGGUUAGGGUUAGGGUUAGGGUUGGAGUUAGGGUUAGUGUUGGAGCUAGGGUUAGGGUUGGGCUUGGAGCUAGGAUUUUUCUGAGUGCACUGAACCAACUCCCGAGUCUCUAGGACAUUCCUAAAAAAAUUUGAUUUUUUCCUAUAGGAAUGCAUGGGUUAGGGUUAUGGUUAGGGUUAGGGUUGGAGCUAGGGUUAGGGUUAGGGUUAGGGUUGGAGUUAGGGUUAGUGUUGGAGCUAGGGUUAGGGUUGGGCUUGGAGCUAGGAUUUUUCUGAGUGCACUGAACCAACUCCCGAGUCUCUAGGACAUUCCUAAAAAAAUUUGAUUUUUUCCCAUAGGAAUGCAUGGGUUAGGGUUAUGGUUAGGGUAAGGGUUGGAGCUAGGGUUAGGGUUAGGGUUAGGGUUGGAGUUAGGGUUAGUGUUGGAGCUAGGGUUAGGGUUGGGCUUGGAGCUAGGAUUUUUCUGAGUGCAAUGAACCAACUCCCGAGUCUCUAGGACGUUCCUAAAAAAAUUUGAUUUUUUCCCAUAGGAAUGCAUGGGUUAGGGUUAGGGUUAGGGUUGGAGCUAGUGUUAGGGUUAGGGAUAGGGUUGGAGUUAAGGUUAGUGUUGGAGCUAGGGUUAGGGUUGGGCUUGGAGCUAGGAUUUUUCUGAGUGCACUGAACCAACUCCCGAGUCUCUAGGACGUUCCUAAAAAAAUUUGAUUUUUUCCCAUAGGAAUGCAUGGGUUAGGGUUAUGGUUAGGGUUGGAGCUAGGGUUAGGGUUAGGGUUAGGGUUGGAGUUAGGGUUAGUGUUGGAGCUAGGGUUAGGGUUGGGCUUGGAGCUAGGAUUUUUCUGAGUGCAAUGAACCAACUCCCGAGUCUCUAGGACGUUCCUAAAAAAAUUUGAUUUUUUCCCAUAGGAAUGCAUGGGUUAGGGUUAGGGUUAGGGUUGGAGCUAGGGUUAGGGUUAGGGUUAGGGUUGGAGUUAGGGUUAGUGUUGGAGCUAGGGUUAGGGUUGGGCUUGGAGCUAGGAUUUUUCUGAGUGCACUGAACCAACUCCCGAGUCUCUAGGACGUUCCUAAAAAAAUUUGAUUUUUUCCCAUAGGAAUGCAUGGGUUAGGGUUAGGGUUAGGGUUAGGGUUGGAGCUAGGGUUAGGGUUAGGGUUAGGGUUGGAGUUAGGGUUGGGCUUGGAGCUAGGGUUAGGGUUGGGCUUGGAGCUAGGAUUUUUCUGAGUGCAAUGAACCAACCCCGAGUCUCUAGGACGUUCCUAAAAAAUCUGAUUUUUUCCCAUAGGAAUGCAUGGGUUAGGGUUAUGGUUAGGGUUAGGGUUGGAGCUAGGGUUAGGGUUAGGGUUAGGGUUGGAGUUAGGGUUAGUGUUGGAGCUAGGGUUAGGCUUGGGCUUGGAGCUAGGAUUUUUCUGAGUGCAAUGAACCAACUCCCGAGUCUCUAGGACGUUCCUAAAAAAAUUUGAUUUUUUCCCAUAGGAAUGCAUGGGUUAGGGUUAGGGUUAGGGUUGGAGCUAGGGUUAGGGUUAGGGUUAGGGUUGGAGUUAGGGUUAGUGUUGGAGCUAGGGUUAGGGUUGGGCUUGGAGCUAGGAUUUUUCUGAGUGCACUGAACCAACUCCCGAGUCUCUAGGACAUUCCUAAAAAAAUUUGAUUUUUUCCCAUAGGAAUGCAUGGGUUAGGGUUAGGGUUAGGGUUGGAGCUAGGGUUAGGGUUAGGGUUAGGGUUGGAGUUAGGGUUAGUGUUGGAGCUAGGGUUAGGGUUGGGCUUGGAGCUAGGAUUUUUCUGAGUGCACUGAACCAACUCCCGAGUCUCUAGGACAUUCCUAAAAAAUUUGAUUUUUUCCCAUAGGAAUGCAUGGGUUAGGGUUAUGGUUAGGGUUAGGGUUGGAGCUAGGGUUAGGGUUAGGGUUAGGGUUGGAGUUAGGGUUAGUGUUGGAGCUAGGGUUAGGGUUGGGCUUGGAGCUAGGAUUUUUCUGAGUGCAAUGAACCAACUCCCGAGUCUCUUGGACGUUCCUAAAAAAAUUUGAUUUUUUUCCCAUAGGAAUGCAUGGGUUAGGGUUAGGGUUAGGGUUGGAGCUAGGGUUAGGGUUAGGGUUAGGGUUGGAGUUAGGGUUAGUGUUGGAGCUAGGGUUAGGGUUGGGCUUGGAGCUAGGAUUUUUCUGAGUGCACUGAACCAACUCCCGAGUCUCUAGGACAUUCCUAAAAAAAUUUGAUUUUUUCCCAUAGGAAUGCAUGGGUUAGGGUUAGGGUUAGGGUUGGAGCUAGGGUUAGGGUUAGGGUUAGGGUUGGAGUUAGGGUUAGUGUUGGAGCUAGGGUUAGGGUUGGGCUUGGAGCUAGGAUUUUUCUGAGUGCACUGAACCAACUCCCGAGUCUCUAGGACAUUCCUAAAAAAAUUUGAUUUUUUCCCAUAGGAAUGCAUGGGUUAGGGUUAUGGUUAGGGUUAGGGUUGGAGCUAGGGUUAGGGUUAGGGUUAGGGUUGGAGUUAGGGUUAGUGUUGGAGCUAGGGUUAGGGUUGGGCUUGGAGCUAGGAUUUUUCUGAGUGCACUGAACCAACUCCCGAGUCUCUAGGACAUUCCUAAAAAAAUUUGAUUUUUUCCCAUAGGAAUGCAUGGGUUAGGGUUAGGGUUAGGGUUGGAGCUAGGGUUAGGGUUAGGGUUAGGGUUGGAGUUAGGGUUAGUGUUGGAGCUAGGGUUAGGGUUGGGCUUGGAGCUAGGAUUUUUCUGAGUGCACUGAACCAACUCCCGAGUCUCUAGGACAUUCCUAAAAAAAUUUGAUUUUUUCCCAUAGGAAUGCAUGGGUUAGGGUUAUGGUUAGGGUUAGGGUUGGAGCUAGGGUUAGGGUUAGGGUUAGGGUUGGAGUUAGGGUUAGUGUUGGAGCUAGGGUUAGGGUUGGGCUUGGAGCUAGGAUUUUUCUGAGUGCAAUGAACCAACUCCCGAGUCUCUUGGACGUUCCUAAAAAAAUUUGAUUUUUUCCCAUAGGAAUGCAUGGGUUAGGGUUAGGGUUAGGGUUGGAGCUAGGGUUAGGGUUAGGGUUAGGGUUGGAGUUAGGGUUAGUGUUGGAGCUAGGGUUAGGGUUGGGCUUGGAGCUAGGAUUUUUCUGAGUGCACUGAACCAACUCCCGAGUCUCUAGGACAUUCCUAAAAAAAUUUGAUUUUUUCCCAUAGGAAUGCAUGGGUUAGGGUUAGGGUUAGGGUUGGAGCUAGGGUUAGGGUUAGGGUUAGGGUUGGAGUUAGGGUUAGUGUUGGAGCUAGGGUUAGGGUUGGGCUUGGAGCUAGGAUUUUUCUGAGUGCAAUGAACCAACUCCCGAGUCUCUUGGACGUUCCUAAAAAAAUUUGAUUUUUUCCCAUAGGAAUGCAUGGGUUAGGGUUAGGGUUAGGGUUGGAGCUAGGGUUAGGGUUAGGGUUAGGGUUGGAGUUAGGGUUAGUGUUGGAGCUAGGGUAGGGUUGGGCUUGGAGCUAGGAUUUUUCUGAGUGCAAUGAACCAACUCCCGAGUCUCUUGGACGUUCCUAAAAAAAUUUGAUUUUUUCCCAUAGGAAUGCAUGGGUUAGGGUUAGGGUUAGGGUUGGAGCUAGGGUUAGGGUUAGGGUUAGGGUUGGAGUUAGGGUUAGUGUUGGAGCUAGGGUUAGGGUUGGGCUUGGAGCUAGGAUUUUUCUGAGUGCAAUGAACCAACUCCCGGGUCUCUAGGACGUUCCUAAAAAAAUUUGAUUUUUUCCCAUAGGAAUGCAUGGGUAAGGGUUAGGGUUAGGGUUGGAGCUAGGAUUAGGGUUAGGGUUAGGGUUGGAGUUAAGGUUAGUGUUGGAGCUAGGGUUAGGGUUGGGCUUGGAGCUAGGAUUUUUCUGAGUGCAAUGAACCAACUCCCGAGUCUCUAGGACGUUCCUAAAAAAAUUUGAUUUUUUCCCAUAGGAAUGCAUGGGUUAGGGUUAUGGUUAGGGUUAGGGUUGGAGCUAGGGUUAGGGUUAGGGUUAGGGUUGGAGUUAGGGUUAGUGUUGGAGCUAGGGUUAGGGUUGGGCUUGGAGCUAGGAUUUUUCUGAGUGCAAUGAACCAACCCCCGAGUCUCUAGGACGUUCCUAAAAAAUUUGAUUUUUUCCCAUAGGAAUGCAUGGGUUAGGGUUAUGGUUAGGGUUAGGGUUGGAGCUAGGGUUAGGGUUAGGGUUAGGGUUGGAGUUAGGGUUAGUGUUGGAGCUAGGGUUAGGGUUGGGCUUGGAGCUAGGAUUUUUCUGAGUGCAAUGAACCAACUCCCGAGUCUCUAGGACGUUCCUAAAAAAAUUUGAUUUUUUCCCAUAGGAAUGCAUGGGUUAGGGUUAGGGUUAGGGUUGGAGCUAGGGUUAGGGUUAGGGUUAGGGUUGGAGUUAGGGUUAGUGUUGGAGCUAGGGUUAGGGUUGGGCUUGGAGCUAGGAUUUUUCUGAGUGCACUGAACCAACUCCCGAGUCUCUAGGACAUUCCUAAAAAAAUUUGAUUUUUUCCCAUAGGAAUGCAUGGGUUAGGGUUAGGGUUAGGGUUGGAGCUAGGGUUAGGGUUAGGGUUAGGGUUGGAGUUAGGGUUAGUGUUGGAGCUAGGGUUAGGGUUGGGCUUGGAGCUAGGAUUUUUCUGAGUGCACUGAACCAACUCCCGAGUCUCUAGGACAUUCCUAAAAAAAUUUGAUUUUUUCCUAUAGGAAUGCAUGGGUUAGGGUUAUGGUUAGGGUUAGGGUUGGAGCUAGGGUUAGGGUUAGGGUUAGGGUUGGAGUUAGGGUUAGUGUUGGAGCUAGGGUUAGGGUUGGGCUUGGAGCUAGGAUUUUUCUGAGUGCACUGAACCAACUCCCGAGUCUCUAGGACAUUCCUAAAAAAAUUUGAUUUUUUCCCAUAGGAAUGCAUGGGUUAGGGUUAGGGUUAGGGUUGGAGCUAGGGUUAGGGUUAGGGUUAGGGUUGGAGUUAGGGUUAGUGUUGGAGCUAGGGUUAGGGUUGGGCUUGGAGCUAGGAUUUUUCUGAGUGCACUGAACCAACUCCCGAGUCUCUAGGACAUUCCUAAAAAAAUUUGAUUUUUUCCUAUAGGAAUGCAUGGGUUAGGGUUAUGGUUAGGGUUAGGGUUGGAGCUAGGGUUAGGGUUAGGGUUAGGGUUGGAGUUAGGGUUAGUGUUGGAGCUAGGGUUAGGGUUGGGCUUGGAGCUAGGAUUUUUCUGAGUGCACUGAACCAACUCCCGAGUCUCUAGGACAUUCCUAAAAAAAUUUGAUUUUUUCCCAUAGGAAUGCAUGGGUUAGGGUUAUGGUUAGGGUAAGGGUUGGAGCUAGGGUUAGGGUUAGGGUUAGGGUUGGAGUUAGGGUUAGUGUUGGAGCUAGGGUUAGGGUUGGGCUUGGAGCUAGGAUUUUUCUGAGUGCAAUGAACCAACUCCCGAGUCUCUAGGACGUUCCUAAAAAAAUUUGAUUUUUUCCCAUAGGAAUGCAUGGGUUAGGGUUAGGGUUAGGGUUGGAGCUAGUGUUAGGGUUAGGGAUAGGGUUGGAGUUAAGGUUAGUGUUGGAGCUAGGGUUAGGGUUGGGCUUGGAGCUAGGAUUUUUCUGAGUGCAAUGAACCAACUCCCGAGUCUCUAGGACGUUCCUAAAAAAAUUUGAUUUUUUCCCAUAGGAAUGCAUGGGUUAGGGUUAUGGUUAGGGUAAGGGUUGGAGCUAGGGUUAGGGUUAGGGUUAGGGUUGGAGUUAGGGUUAGUGUUGGAGCUAGGGUUAGGGUUGGGCUUGGAGCUAGGAUUUUUCUGAGUGCAAUGAACCAACUCCCGAGUCUCUAGGACGUUCCUAAAAAAAUUUGAUUUUUUCCCAUAGGAAUGCAUGGGUUAGGGUUAGGGUUAGGGUUGGAGCUAGGGUUAGGGUUAGGGAUAGGGUUGGAGUUAAGGUUAGUGUUGGAGCUAGGGUUAGGGUUGGGCUUGGAGCUAGGAUUUUUCUGAGUGCACUGAACCAACUCCCGAGUCUCUAGGACGUUCCUAAAAAAAUUUGAUUUUUUCCCAUAGGAAUGCAUGGGUUAGGGUUAGGGUUAGGGUUAGGGUUGGAGCUAGGGUUAGGGUUAGGGUUAGGGUUGGAGUUAGGGUUGGGCUUGGAGCUAGGGUUAGGGUUGGGCUUGGAGCUAGGAUUUUUCUGAGUGCAAUGAACCAACCCCCGAGUCUCUAGGACGUUCCUAAAAAAAUCUGAUUUUUUCCCAUAGGAAUGCAUGGGUUAGGGUUAUGGUUAGGGUUAGGGUUGGAGCUAGGGUUAGGGUUAGGGUUAGGGUUGGAGUUAGGGUUAGUGUUGGAGCUAGGGUUAGGCUUGGGCUUGGAGCUAGGAUUUUUCUGAGUGCAAUGAACCAACUCCCGAGUCUCUAGGACGUUCCUAAAAAAAUUUGAUUUUUUCCCAUAGGAAUGCAUGGGUUAGGGUUAGGGUUAGGGUUGGAGCUAGGGUUAGGGUUAGGGUUAGGGUUGGAGUUAGGGUUAGUGUUGGAGCUAGGGUUAGGGUUGGGCUUGGAGCUAGGAUUUUUCUGAGUGCACUGAACCAACUCCCGAGUCUCUAGGACAUUCCUAAAAAAAUUUGAUUUUUUCCCAUUGGAAUGCAUGGGUUAGGGUUAGGGUUAGGGUUGGAGCUAGGGUUAGGGUUAGGGUUAGGGUUGGAGUUAGGGUUAGUGUUGGAGCUAGGGUUAGGGUUGGGCUUGGAGCUAGGAUUUUUCUGAGUGCACUGAACCAACUCCCGAGUCUCUAGGACAUUCCUAAAAAAAUUUGAUUUUUUCCCAUAGGAAUGCAUGGGUUAGGGUUAUGGUUAGGGUUAGGGUUGGAGCUAGGGUUAGGGUUAGGGUUAGGGUUGGAGUUAGGGUUAGUGUUGGAGCUAGGGUUAGGGUUGGGCUUGGAGCUAGGAUUUUUCUGAGUGCAAUGAACCAACUCCCGAGUCUCUUGGACGUUCCUAAAAAAAUUUGAUUUUUUCCCAUAGGAAUGCAUGGGUUAGGGUUAGGGUUAGGGUUGGAGCUAGGGUUAGGGUUAGGGUUAGGGUUGGAGUUAGGGUUAGUGUUGGAGCUAGGGUUAGGGUUGGGCUUGGAGCUAGGAUUUUUCUGAGUGCACUGAACCAACUCCCGAGUCUCUAGGACAUUCCUAAAAAAAUUUGAUUUUUUCCCAUAGGAAUGCAUGGGUUAGGGUUAGGGUUAGGGUUGGAGCUAGGGUUAGGGUUAGGGUUAGGGUUGGAGUUAGGGUUAGUGUUGGAGCUAGGGUUAGGGUUGGGCUUGGAGCUAGGAUUUUUCUGAGUGCACUGAACCAACUCCCGAGUCUCUAGGACAUUCCUAAAAAAAUUUGAUUUUUUCCCAUAGGAAUGCAUGGGUUAGGGUUAUGGUUAGGGUUAGGGUUGGAGCUAGGGUUAGGGUUAGGGUUAGGGUUGGAGUUAGGGUUAGUGUUGGAGCUAGGGUUAGGGUUGGGCUUGGAGCUAGGAUUUUUCUGAGUGCACUGAACCAACUCCCGAGUCUCUAGGACAUUCCUAAAAAAAUUUGAUUUUUUCCCAUAGGAAUGCAUGGGUUAGGGUUAGGGUUAGGGUUGGAGCUAGGGUUAGGGUUAGGGUUAGGGUUGGAGUUAGGGUUAGUGUUGGAGCUAGGGUUAGGGUUGGGCUUGGAGCUAGGAUUUUUCUGAGUGCACUGAACCAACUCCCGAGUCUCUAGGACAUUCCUAAAAAAAUUUGAUUUUUUCCCAUAGGAAUGCAUGGGUUAGGGUUAUGGUUAGGGUUAGGGUUGGAGCUAGGGUUAGGGUUAGGGUUAGGGUUGGAGUUAGGGUUAGUGUUGGAGCUAGGGUUAGGGUUGGGCUUGGAGCUAGGAUUUUUCUGAGUGCAAUGAACCAACUCCCGAGUCUCUUGGACGUUCCUAAAAAAAUUUGAUUUUUUCCCAUAGGAAUGCAUGGGUUAGGGUUAGGGUUAGGGUUGGAGCUAGGGUUAGGGUUAGGGUUAGGGUUGGAGUUAGGGUUAGUGUUGGAGCUAGGGUUAGGGUUGGGCUUGGAGCUAGGAUUUUUCUGAGUGCACUGAACCAACUCCCGAGUCUCUAGGACAUUCCUAAAAAAAUUUGAUUUUUUCCCAUAGGAAUGCAUGGGUUAGGGUUAGGGUUAGGGUUGGAGCUAGGGUUAGGGUUAGGGUUAGGGUUGGAGUUAGGGUUAGUGUUGGAGCUAGGGUUAGGGUUGGGCUUGGAGCUAGGAUUUUUCUGAGUGCAAUGAACCAACUCCCGAGUCUCUUGGACGUUCCUAAAAAAAUUUGAUUUUUUCCCAUAGGAAUGCAUGGGUUAGGGUUAGGGUUAGGGUUGGAGCUAGGGUUAGGGUUAGGGUUAGGGUUGGAGUUAGGGUUAGUGUUGGAGCUAGGGAUAGGGUUGGGCUUGGAGCUAGGAUUUUUCUGAGUGCAAUGAACCAACUCCCGAGUCUCUUGGACGUUCCUAAAAAAAUUUGAUUUUUUCCCAUAGGAAUGCAUGGGUUAGGGUUAGGGUUAGGGUUGGAGCUAGGGUUAGGGUUAGGGUUAGGGUUGGAGUUAGGGUUAGUGUUGGAGCUAGGGUUAGGGUUGGGCUUGGAGCUAGGAUUUUUCUGAGUGCAAUGAACCAACUCCCGGGUCUCUAGGACGUUCCUAAAAAAAUUUGAUUUUUUCCCAUAGGAAUGCAUGGGUAAGGGUUAGGGUUAGGGUUGGAGCUAGGAUUAGGGUUAGGGUUAGGGUUGGAGUUAAGGUUAGUGUUGGAGCUAGGGUUAGGGUUGGGCUUGGAGCUAGGAUUUUUCUGAGUGCAAUGAACCAACUCCCGAGUCUCUAGGACGUUCCUAAAAAAAUUUGAUUUUUUCCCAUAGGAAUGCAUGGGUUAGGGUUAUGGUUAGGGUUAGGGUUGGAGCUAGGGUUAGGGUUAGGGUUAGGGUUGGAGUUAGGGUUAGUGUUGGAGCUAGGGUUAGGGUUGGGCUUGGAGCUAGGAUUUUUCUGAGUGCAAUGAACCAACCCCCGAGUCUCUAGGACGUUCCUAAAAAAUUUGAUUUUUUCCCAUAGGAAUGCAUGGGUUAGGGUUAUGGUUAGGGUUAGGGUUGGAGCUAGGGUUAGGGUUAGGGUUAGGGUUGGAGUUAGGGUUAGUGUUGGAGCUAGGGUUAGGGUUGGGCUUGGAGCUAGGAUUUUUCUGAGUGCAAUGAACCAACUCCCGAGUCUCUAGGACGUUCCUAAAAAAUUUGAUUUUUUCCCAUAGGAAUGCAUGGGUUAGGGUUAGGGUUAGGGUUGGAGCUAGGGUUAGGGUUAGGGUUAGGGUUGGAGUUAGGGUUAGUGUUGGAGCUAGGGUUAGGGUUGGGCUUGGAGCUAGGAUUUUUCUUAGUGCAGUGAACCAACUCCCGAGUCUCUAGGACAUUCCUAAAAAAUUUGAUUUUUUCCCAUAGGAAUGCAUGGGUUAGGGUUAGGGUUAGGGUUGGAGCUAGGGUUAGGGUUAGGGUUAGGGUUGGAGUUAGGGUUAGUGUUGGAGCUAGGGUUAGGGUUGGGCUUGGAGCUAGGAUUUUUCUGAGUGCACUGAACCAACUCCCGAGUCUCUAGGACAUUCCUAAAAAAAUUUGAUUUUUUCCCAUAGGAAUGCAUGGGUUAGGGUUAUGGUUAGGGUUAGGGUUGGAGCUAGGGUUAGGGUUAGGGUUAGGGUUGGAGUUAGGGUUAGUGUUGGAGCUAGGGUUAGGGUUGGGCUUGGAGCUAGGAUUUUUCUGAGUGCAAUGAACCAACUCCCGAGUCUCUUGGACGUUCCUAAAAAAAUUUGAUUUUUUCCCAUAGGAAUGCAUGGGUUAGGGUUAGGGUUAGGGUUGGAGCUAGGGUUAGGGUUAGGGUUAGGGUUGGAGUUAGGGUUAGUGUUGGAGCUAGGGUUAGGGUUGGGCUUGGAGCUAGGAUUUUUCUGAGUGCACUGAACCAACUCCCGAGUCUCUAGGACAUUCCUAAAAAAAUUUGAUUUUUUCCCAUAGGAAUGCAUGGGUUAGGGUUAGGGUUAGGGUUGGAGCUAGGGUUAGGGUUAGGGUUAGGGUUGGAGUUAGGGUUAGUGUUGGAGCUAGGGUUAGGGUUGGGCUUGGAGCUAGGAUUUUUCUGAGUGCACUGAACCAACUCCCGAGUCUCUAGGACAUUCCUAAAAAAAUUUGAUUUUUUCCCAUAGGAAUGCAUGGGUUAGGGUUAUGGUUAGGGUUAGGGUUGGAGCUAGGGUUAGGGUUAGGGUUAGGGUUGGAGUUAGGGUUAGUGUUGGAGCUAGGGUUAGGGUUGGGCUUGGAGCUAGGAUUUUUCUGAGUGCAAUGAACCAACUCCCGAGUCUCUUGGACGUUCCUAAAAAAAUGUGAUUUUUUCCCAUAGGAAUGCAUGGGUUAGGGUUAGGGUUAGGGUUGGAGCUAGGGUUAGGGUUAGGGUUAGGGUUGGAGUUAGGGUUAGUGUUGGAGCUAGGGUUAGGGUUGGGCUUGGAGCUAGGAUUUUUCUGAGUGCACUGAACCAACUCCCGAGUCUCUAGGACAUUCCUAAAAAAAUUUGAUUUUUUCCCAUAGGAAUGCAUGGGUUAGGGUUAGGGUUAGGGUUGGAGCUAGGGUUAGGGUUAGGGUUAGGGUUGGAGUUAGGGUUAGUGUUGGAGCUAGGGUUAGGGUUGGGCUUGGAGCUAGGAUUUUUCUGAGUGCACUGAACCAACUCCCGAGUCUCUAGGACAUUCCUAAAAAAAUUUGAUUUUUUCCCAUAGGAAUGCAUGGGUUAGGGUUAUGGUUAGGGUUAGGGUUGGAGCUAGGGUUAGGGUUAGGGUUAGGGUUGGAGUUAGGGUUAGUGUUGGAGCUAGGGUUAGGGUUGGGCUUGGAGCUAGGAUUUUUCUGAGUGCAAUGAACCAACUCCCGAGUCUCUUGGACGUUCCUAAAAAAAUUUGAUUUUUUCCCAUAGGAAUGCAUGGGUUAGGGUUAGGGUUAGGGUUGGAGCUAGGGUUAGGGUUAGGGUUAGGGUUGGAGUUAGGGUUAGUGUUGGAGCUAGGGUUAGGGUUGGGCUUGGAACUAGGAUUUUUCUGAGUGCAAUGAACCAACUCCCGAGUCUCUAGGACGUUCCUAAAAAAAUUUGAUUUUUUCCCAUAGGAAUGCAUGGGUUAGGGUUAGGGUUAGGGUUGGAGCUAGGGUUAGGGUUAGGGUUAGGGUUGGAGUUAAGGUUAGUGUUGGAGCUAGGGUUAGGGUUGGGCUUGGAGCUAGGAUUUUUCUGAGUGCAAUGAACCAACUCCCGAGUCUCUAGGACGUUCCUAAAAAAAUUUGAUUUUUUCCCAUAGGAAUGCAUGGGUUAGGGUUAUGGUUAGGGUUAGGGUUGGAGCUAGGGUUAGGGUAAGGGUUAGGGUUGGAGUUAGGGUUAGUGUUGGAGCUAGGGUUAGGGUUGGGCUUGGAGCUAGGAUUUUUCUGAGUGCAAUGAACCAACCCCCGAGUCUCUAGGACGUUCCUAAAAAAAUUUGAUUUUUUCCCAUAGGAAUGCAUGGGUUAGGGUUAUGGUUAGGGUUAGGGUUGGAGCUAGGGUUAGGGUUAGGGUUGGAGUUAGGGUUAGUGUUGGAGCUAGGGUUAGGGUUGGGCUUGGAGCUAGGAUUUUUCUGAGUGCAAUGAACCAACUCCCGAGUCUCUAGGACAUUCCUAAAAAAAUUUGAUUUUUUUCCCAUAGGAAUGCAUGGGUUAGGGUUAGGGUUAGGGUUGGAGCUAGGGUUAGGGUUAGGGUUAGGGUUGGAGUUAGGGUUAGUGUUGGAGCUAGGGUUAGGGUUGGGCUUGGAGCUAGGAUUUUUCUGAGUGCAAUGAACCAACUCCCGAGUCUCUAGGACGUUCCUAAAAAAAUUUGAUUUUUUCCCAUAGGAAUGCAUGGGUUAGGGUUAGGGUUAGGGUUGGAGCUAGGGUUAGGGUUAGGGUUAGGGUUGGAGUUAGGGUUAGUGUUGGAGCUAGGGUUAGGGUUGGGCUUGGAGCUAGGAUUUUUCUGAGUGCACUGAACCAACUCCUGAGUCUCUAGGACAUUCCUAAAAAAAUUGAUUUUUUCCCAUAGGAAUGCAUGGGUUAGGGUUAGGGUUAGGGUUGGAGCUAGGGUUAGGGUUAGGGUUAGGGUUGGAGUUAGGGUUAGUGUUGGAGCUAGGGUUAGGGUUGGGCUUGGAGCUAGGAUUUUUCUGAGUGCACUGAACCAACUCCCGAGUCUCUAGGACAUUCCUAAAAAAAUUUGAUUUUUUCCCAUAGGAAUGCAUGGGUUAGGGUUAGGGUUAGGGUUGGAGCUAGGGUUAGGGUUAGGGUUAGGGUUGGAGUUAGGGUUAGUGUUGGAGCUAGGGUUAGGGUUGGGCUUGGAGCUAGGAUUUUUCUGGGUGCAAUGAACCAACUCCCGAGUCUCUUGGACGUUCCUAAAAAAUUUGAUUUUUUCCCAUUGCAAUGCAUUUGUUAGGGUUAGGGUUAGGGUUAGGGUUAGGGUUGGAGCUAGGGUUAGGGUUAGGGUUAGGGUUGGAGUUAGGGUUAGUGUUGGAGCUAGGGUUAGGGUUGGGCUUGGAGCUAGGAUUUUUCUGAGUGCAAUGAACCAACUCCCGAGUCUCUAGGACGUUCCUAAAAAAAUUUGAUUUUUUCCCAUAGGAAUGCAUGGGUUAGGGUUAUGGUUAGGGUUAGGGUUGGAGCUAGGGUUAGGGUUAGGGUUAGGGUUGGAGUUAGGGUUAGUGUUGGAGCUAGGGUUAGGGUUGGGCUUGGAGCUAGGAUUUUUCUGAGUGCAAUGAACCAACCCCCGAGUCUCUAGGACGUUCCUAAAAAAAUUUGAUUUUUUCCCAUAGGAAUGCAUGGGUUAGGGUUAUGGUUAGGGUUAGGGUUGGAGCUAGGGUUAGGGUUAGGGUUAGGGUUGGAGUUAGGGUUAGUGUUGGAGCUAGGGUUAGGGUUGGGCUUGGAGCUAGGAUUUUUCUGAGUGCAAUGAACCAACUCCCGAGUCUCUAGGACGUUCCUA